GGGGGUGUGACUGAGUGAAGUCAUCCACUCUGCCCUCAGUCCCCUCAGGGGGGGGGGGUGACUGAGUGAAGUCAUCCACUCUGCCCUCAGUCCCCUCAGGGGGGGUGUGACUGAGUGAAGUCAUCCACUCUGCCCUCAACAGGAGAACUCUGGACCAGACUGACUAGGGAGGUGUUUACCCCGGUGGUCGUUACGACACCGUCACUUCCAGAAGGAAUUAACAGUGGAUCAAAAUGUAAAUAUUACGUUUUAUUGUAAAGAAGGAAUAAUAUGUUGGGAUGUAAAUAAAUUAGUUUGAUGGUUAGUUGUUGUUUGUUGUUUUGACAUAUGUAAUAUUAAAGGUGAGUCUGUGUCGUCA